AAUGAACGUUGGCGGCGUGGAUUAGGCAUGCAAGUCGAGCGAGAACCCCGCAAGGGGGGACAGCGGCGAAAGGGACAGUAAUGUGUAGAUUAUCUGUCCUCAGGUCCGGGAUAGCUGCGGGAAACUGCAGGUAAUACCGGAUAACAUCUCCGGAUCAAAGGUGUGAUUCCGCCUGAGGAUGAGUCUGCAUCCUAUUAGCUAGUUGGUGGGGUAAUGGCCUACCAAGGCAUUGAUGGGUAGCAGGUGUGAGAGCACGACCUGCGUCAUUGGGACUGAGACACUGCCCAGACACCUACGGGUGGCUGCAGUCGAGAAUCGUCGGCAAUGGGCGCAAGCCUGACCGAGCGACGCCGCGUGUGGGAUGAAGGCCUUCGGGUUGUAAACCACUGUCAGAGGGGAUGAAAUGCAGGUGGGUUCUCCCAUCUGUUUGACAUAGCCUCAGAGGAAGGACGGGCUAAGUUCGUG
rnacentral:rRNA from 1 species